rnacentral:rRNA from 1 species
GAACUCCGGAGCAAGUAUCAGGCUCAACAAAUUGGCCCAUAACACUUUGCAUCGCCACCUCCCCACGGAUAUCAGCAGUAAUUAAUAUUAGGCAAUUAGUGAAAACUUGACCUAGCUAUGGUUAACUGGGCCGGCAAAUUUCGUGCCAGCAGCCGCGGUUAUACGAAAGGCCCAAAACAAGAAGCAUACGGCGUAAAGCGUGACUAGAAUUUUAUCUUUGCAGCUAUAAGGAGAAAUUAAAGUUAAGUAGUAAAAUACACUAACUAAAAGAAUCUUAACCCCUUAUGCAAAUAAUAUUUCACUCACGAAAANUAAGAAACNAACUAGGNUU